UCAUUAAAACACCAUUACCAUUUACCAAAAUUCUUCCAAAAUCGGUAUUUCAAUUGAUGUUCAUCCUCCAUCCUCAAGUACUCUAAUAUCAGCAUGGUGAUGCACCACAAUUCCAUUCGACCUUUUUCUACAAAAGUUCGAGCUCUUCGCUCUUGGAGCUGGUCCAUUCCAAUGUUUGGUAAGCACCGGUUAUAUCCCUAGGAGGUGCAAGAUACUUUGUAUAUUUUAUUGAUAAUUACUCCAGGAGAUGUUGGGUGUAUCCAAUCAAAAGGAAGGCAGACGUGUUUGCAGUCUUCAGAAUAUCCAAAGCGCAUGUGGAGCUUGAAUUUGAAAAGAAGAUCAAGUGUCUGAGGACUGACAAUGGAGGAGAAUAUACCGGUGAUGAAUUUGAUAACUUCUGUCAACAAGAAGGUAUUAAGAGACAGUUCACUGUGGCAUACACUCCACAGCAAAAUGGAGUGGCAGAGCAGAUGAACAGAACAUUGUUAGAAAGAACAAGGGCAAUAUUGAGAACUGCGGGGUUAGCCAAGUCAUUUUGGGCAGAAGCAAUCAAAACCGCCUGUUAUGUGAUCAAUCGGUUGCCAUCAACCGCAAUUGGUCUGAAGACGCCUAUGAAAAUGUGGACUGGUAAACCAGCUGAUUAUUCUCACUUACAUGUGUUUGGAAGUCAUGUGUACGUUAUGUACAACACCCAAGAAAUAUCAAAGCUGGAUCCAAAAUCCAGAAAAUGUAUUUUCUUAAGGUAUGCUGAUGGAGUGAAGGGGUACUGCAUGUGGGAUCCUACUGUCCACAAGGUGAUAAUCAGCAGAGAUAUCAUAUUUGCAAAAGGCAAAAUACAGGAAAAAGGAAAUGAUAGCACUUCAAAAGAAAAACCAGAGACUACUAUAGUCGAAGUUCGAGACGAACGAGAAUUUAUAGAUACUUCUGAAGCAACACUAGAGCACGAAGAACAAGCUGAAUCUAGUGCUCAAGAUGUUCGAUGAUCAACACGAGAGAGAAGAGAAUCGGCUUGGCACUCAGAUUAUAUUAUGGAAGGCAAUGUUGCAUACUACUUACUGAUAGAAUAUGGAGAGCCAUCAACUUUCCACGAGACUAUAAAUAGCCAAGAAGUUUCUCAGUGGAUGGCUGCAAUGCAAGAAGAAAUUGAAGCUCUUCAUAAGAACAAGACAUGGAAUCUUGUCCCACUACCACAAGGAAGGAAGGUCAUUGGAAAUAAAUGGGUAUAUAAGAUCAAACGAGAUGGCAAUGAUCAAGUGGAACGGUAUCGUGCGAGACUGGUGGUGAAGGGAUAUGCUCAGAAAGAAGGCAUUGACUUCAACGAAAUAUUUUCUCCUAUGGUUCGACUUACAACAGUUCGAGUAGUCUUGACGAUGUGUGCUACAUUUGACUUACACUUGGAGUAGUUAGAUGUGAAAACUACAUUUCUUCAUGGAAAACUUGAAGAAGAAAUUUAUAUGCUCCAACCAAAAGGUUUUGAAGAAAAAGAAAAAGAGAACUUGGUUUGCAGGUUGAACAAAUCUCUGUACGGUCUCAAACAGGCGCCGAGAUGUUGGUAUAAGAGAUUUGAUUUCUUCAUCAUCAGCCUUGGAUACAACAGACUCUGUUCAGAUCCGUGUGUAUACUACAUGAGAUUUGGUGAUAAUGAUUUCAUUAUCUUGCUGUUGUAUGUUGACGACAUGUUGGUAGCAGGCCCCAACAAAGAUCGUAUUGAAAAUCUGAAGGCUCAAUUGGUUAGGAAGUUUGAUAUGAAGGAUUUGGGACCGGCAAACAAGAUUCUAGGGAUGCAAAUUUACUGAGAUAGAAAUAAUAGAAAGAUUUGGCUUAGUCAAAAAAACUACUUGACGAAAAUCUUGUGUUGCUUCAAUAUGCAAGAUUGUAAGCCAAUUUCUACCCCUCUUCCUAUUAAUUUUAAGUUAUCCUCAAGUAUGAGCCCUACCAGCGAAGUAGAGAGGAUGGAGAUGUCUCGAGUGCCGUAUGCAUCAGCAGUGUGUAGUUUGAUGUUUGCUAUGAUCUAUACAAGACCAGACAUUGUACAAGCAGUGGGAGCGAUUAGUCGAUACAUGGAAAAUCCUGGUAAAAAGCAUUGGAAUACUGUAAAGUGGAUCCUGAGAUAUGUCAAGGGUACCUCAAAUGCUACAUUAUGUUAUGGAGGAUCAGAUUUUAUUGUCAGAGACUAUGUUGAUUCAGAUUAUACAGGUGAUCUUGAUAAAAGCAAGUCCACCACAGGAUAUGUGUUUACUCUUGCUGGAGGAGCUGUAAGCUAGGUUUCAAAACUGCAGUCUAUCGUGGCUACUUCCACGAUGGAGGCAGAAUAUGUGGCAGCUACACAAGCUAGCAAAGAGGCAAUCUAGUUGCAAAUGUUAAUGGACGAGCUCGGACACAAACAAGAGAAGAUUGCUCUAUUUUGUGAUAGUCAGAGCGCUUUGCAUUUGGCAAAGAAUCCAGCAUUUCAUCAGAGGACAAAUCAUAUUCGAGUUCAAUAUCACUUUGUUCGAGAAAAGGUGGAGAAAGGAAGUGUGGAUAUACAAAAAAUCCAUACAGCAGACAACCUAGCUGAUAUGUUGACAAAGCCAAUCGGAACUGACAAGUUUAUAUGGUGUCGAUCUUCCAUUGGCCUUGCAGAAACGUAAAUAGCAUGGAAAUGGCAAGUAUGGGAAGGAUGAAGUGGUCAACAAAAGUGACUUUAAGUGGGAGAAAUGUUGAAAAUAAAGUCACAUUUUUGGACCAUAAAACAUUACUUAGCAAGUAAGAAAAAUACAUACAUGCAUGCAAGUGGUGGUGGUGGCAAAAUUGGAGUUUCCAACUAAUGAUAGCCACAUUUUUUUGACCAAAUGGAUAAGGUGUUGUUUUCUUAAUUGUUAAGAAAGACUCCAUGUAUGCAUAUAAGGGAGGUUGAGAAAUUCAAGUUUUCUUUCUCCGUUUACUUGACAAGCCAAAUGUGUAGAGAAUUCUAGCAAAUGAAGGUGGUAGAACUUUGACUCUUCCAAGCAAUUAUGGAGGUUAAAAAUCUCUAUAAAUAUGGGCAAAAGUUUGAGAGAAAAUGGUGUGCCAUAUGGAGAGGAAAAAUUAAGAGAGAAAAUUGUAAGGUAGAGAGAAGAGUAGAGAGAAAAUUUAUUAUUUUUCUCCUAAGUUUUUUUCCUACUUGUUUUCUCCUAUUACAAGAGAGAUUAAUUGUUGUUAUUUCCUUGUAUUUAGAGAGUGUGCUGUAAUUCUCCUACUAUAGUGAAAUUCUCUUAUACUUGCCUGUGAACGUAGCCUAAAUUGGGUGAACCACGUAAAUACCUGUGUCCAUUUUUAGCUGUGUUUUCUCAAUUCCAUUAUUUGUUAGCCAAACUCGACCCACGCAUUUUCUCCCCAACAUUCGCUGCGCCAUGGCACGUCCGCCGUUGAAUACACCACCAUCCCAUCAUUCACCUAAAUAUUUUGAGUAAUCUUCCUUAACCCAUAUUUUGAACAUCGUUUCCAUACGAAAAACUCAUCUUUGAAGUUGGUCCUUCGUAAGAUGGGUUUCGCAUCAAGGUAUUUGUAGAUUGUUU
rnacentral:lncRNA from 1 species